GCCACAGAUGUUUCUCGAACCAAUCCCCUCCUCUCCUCCCCAUUGAAGCAACCCGUGCAAAACCCUAACCCUAAAAAAGCCUCACAAAACAUUCGAAACCCUAACCUAUGUCGUCGUCGUCGAAUCGAAAUCGCAUUUAUACAGCUUGUAUUUAUAUAUCUUUUUUCCCUUUCCAUUUAUUGUACAUUUUUUUUUUUGGGUUAAUUAAGCCGUUUCGAAAUAGGCUUAUCCACUACUUCUCUUAUCAAAUUUGAUGCGCUUAAUAUUAUAAAAUUUUAAUCGAUUAAAUUAUAAAUUUUGUCAAUUGGUAUGAAAUUUCUAAUUUUUGAUUAUUAAUCCCCGUAUCUUAUAUCCUGCUACAAAGUGCACAACAAAUGAAAAUCGAAGAGAAAAAUCACAUUAUCCAAACUCGAUCAUAAUUUUGUGUAUGAAAUCAUCCUUUUGGUGGAGUAGUUAAAAAUUUAUAAUGCUUCAGCCUAUAUAUUUCUAUGAAUAAUUUCAAAUUUUUUUUUACAUUAUGUGGUUGCAAUUUCGUAAUUGUGCUAAAGAAUUGCAUAUUUUCCAGCAAGCAACCAAAAUCAAAAGCAAAAAUAUAUGCAUUGCAUCGGACUUGUACGCGCCGGCUAAAAUUGUUGGUUUGGCGUCGCUUCAAGUGUUUGCGACAUUAUAGAUGUUAUUCAUUUAGUAUUUCUAUACAUCAUAGAAGUUUCAUUUCUAGUAUUAUUGGGUUUAGUGUACAUUAUUCAUUGAAUUACUCGAGCAGUAUAUAUAUAUAUAUAUAUAUAUAUUAUGCGACUGACAUUUUAAAGAGAGGUAAAACAUAAAAUUCCAGUUGUUUGUCCCGAGGAAUUUAUGUGUGAUUUGUAUCUGCAUUGUUUAUAUAGCUGAUGAUGUGACUGGUGAAGUUUGUACAAUGCGUAUUGUUCGCUUUGUAGGAAUUUCUCUUAUUCUGCUGUGUGAUUUUCUUAAGCUGAUGAUCUUACAUAACAUAAUAAACAGUUACUGUUAUUGUGUUAGUUAUGAUGGUUCUUUAUUUAGCUUUGGAGUGGCUAUUAUAAUGAGUUGAGAUGUUGGGAACUUUAUGCUUGAAAGUUGUGUAACAAUUUUGGGAUCAUUUGCUUUCUAUGUUGCAUCUUUGUGUUGUCGACGUGGUGUUUUAGUGCUUCAACUAUGUUCUACACCCUUUGAUUAGUGCGAAUAUACAGGACUCUUAUGAUGCCUUAAAUUGUUCGUGAGCUAGCCAUUUCUUUUACUUUGAGAUGAAGCGAGCAUAUACUUGUUUGUACCUGGGAAAAUAAUAUGGUGUUCUUGAUGUAGGAAUAUAGGGUCUUCAUGAUGCUUUUAUGUGGUUGUAUUGGCGAACCCUUUGCUUAAAGAUUAGGUUAGCUCGCUGUCGCUUGCAGCGUGAGGAAUCUGGUCAAGUGUGUCGAUACUGUUAAAGUUAUUUGAAAAUCGAAACCAACACAGCGCAUGAUGUUUUCUCACCACGUGACCAGUAUUGCAUGUUUUGUCCGAGAAUUCUAGAAUGCUUAUGGGAGGUUCUUUGCUUAUUUCAAUCAUAAGCUUUUAACACGCAGGUCAGAGGCAGGAGACUGUCGAGAAGCUCUUUGUUUAAUUUAGGCACUUGAGGCUGAGGAAAUCUGUUGUCUAGUUAUAUCUGCUCGACCUCUUUAUCGGGUUUAAUUUAGAUUUGAUCAAAUCACUUGGUCAAUCUACAAUUGAUAUUAAGGGAUAUAUUCUGCUGAAAACAACCCUAGGUUAUCCUGAUGUUUCUAACCACUGAAAAAAAAACAAGGUGUAAAUAGGUACAAUUUAAGGGGUGAUGUGAAAUACAAGGGGGAAAAUUGAGAUCAUUUUGAGAACUAUGCAUAUUUUGACAGGGGAUAUUUCAUCUCAGGCCAUUUGUGUUGCAGACAAGGAUUUGGCCAGCCAAGUUGCAAACUGUAAUAUAGUUGGAUGCAAUUUAUGGGAGUUUGGUUCUUUCUGCUGAUCCAGAAGCUGCUUUUCUUGGUAGAGGACACAAGCAGAAACACACAUACUUGAGCAAGCAAGGACUCCUAGAAUCCUUCACUGGAAAUGGAAUUUAAAACCAACAAGCAGACACAAGAAAGUGCACUGGAGAAGAGCAAAAUGUAGAUUGUGUAGAGCAAUGUCAUUCUUUAUUUACUAGAUUGUCUAGAUCAAGCACUUCAUUUUUUUUUUAUUUUUUUGCCUUUGUUAAAAGGCCCACAACAUAUUGUAUGUGUUUCCCUUGGUUUUUUACAAUGUAACUCACCAAUCAUGGUACAAGAAAAACCCUAAUAAUUAAUAAAAAAUCGAUAUAUUUGAGACUCGAA